rnacentral:rRNA from 1 species
UACGUAGGGGGCGAGCGUUGUCCGGAUUUACUGGGCGUAAAGCGUGCGCAGGCGGUCUGUUAAGACAGAUGUGAAAUCCCCGGGCUUAACCUGGGAACUGCAUUUGUGACUGGCAGGCUAGAGUAUGGCAGAGGGGGGUAGAAUUCCACGUGUAGCAGUGAAAUGCGUAGAGAUGUGGAGGAAUACCGAUGGCGAAGGCAGCCCCCUGGGCCAAUACUGACGCUCAUGCACGAAAGCGUGGGGAGCAAACAGG